UAAGGAAUAUUGGACAAUGGAGGCAACUCUGAUCCAGCCAUGCCGCGUGAAGGAAUAAGGCCCUAUGGGUUGUAAACUUCUUUUAGACGGGACAAAACCCCUUUACGUGUAAAGGGUUGAUGGUACUGUCAGAAUAAGCAUCGGCUAACUUCGUGCCAGCAGCCGCGGUAAUACGGAGGGUGCAAGCGUUAUCCGGAUUCACUGGGUUCAAAGGGUGCGUAGGUGGGCAGAUAAGUCAGUGGUGAAAUCUUCCGGCUUAACCGGGAAACUGCCGUUGAUACUAUUUGUCUUGAAUAUUGCGGAGGUAAGCGGAAUAUGUCAUGUAGCGGUGAAAUGCUUAGAUAUGACAUAGAACACCAAUUGCGAAGGCAGCUUACUACACAAUCAUUGACACUGAGGCACGAAAGCGUGGGUAGCGAACA
rnacentral:rRNA from 1 species